GCGUGAGUCCACUGGAACAGCUCUUAGGAGUACGUUAUUACAAAGACCGGAGUGCUCUGCUCCAAACUAUUUGGGAAAGGUGGUACCAACUGAAGAGGUGGAGAGUCAACCUAGAUCACAGAAUGGCGCGCAUCCUGGACCUCUCCAAGUUUUCAGGGAAGAAAACUCUAUUUUUAAAAAUUAUUCUCGUUAUGGUUGUGCAUUAUCCCUUGAAGGUUCAGGGAGUUCACUUCGUCUUAACAUGGAGUCGCCUGCAUGCAACAUAGACUCGCCCGUAGCGUCCUUCCCAAUAGUGCAGGAGUCUUUGAAACCUUUUACCCAGUCCCUGCCCUGAUCUUAUGAAACCCGCGGUUCGUUGGGAGCUUUAUCCGGUUUUAUUCCCAACUGCAUCCCGGCUUUAUGAUCCCCAUGUCGUAAAAAGAAAACAAAGUCUAGGAGAAGUUGAACAAACAUGUCCAAAAUCACAUAAUAAAUGGAGAAGAUGGGAUUCGAAUUAA
rnacentral:lncRNA from 1 species